CUCUGUUAUCACGGAGGGAGAAACCACAGCUAGUAACUGACUACACCAUAUUUGGAUCCCUGCCUGCCACGCUCUGAAGUGUGGAGCCUGCUCCUGUAUCCUGCUGGGGGAAUUCUCUGGCCCGUCUCCUUUCUACACCUCUAAGAAGGCAUUUCUUUUUCACCGUGACUCCUGAAAGUCACGUAGAUCUUAUCAGUUCUUACUGGGACCUGAAGACUUGGCUACAGCUCCUGCCUCAGGCGUGGCAGAGGAGAUCUGGUGGGAAGGAAAGAGGCAACAAACCCAGAGGACAGCUUACGGGAGCUGGUUCUCUCCUUUCACCAGG
rnacentral:lncRNA from 1 species